UUAAGUUGUUGCAGUUAAAAAGC
rnacentral:siRNA from 1 species